CCUACGGGUGGCUGCAGUGGGGAAUAUUGGUCAAUGGGCGCAAGCCUGACCCAGCAACGCCGCGUGCAGGAAGAAGGCUUUCGGGUUGUAAACUUCUUUUCUCAGGGACGAAGCAAGUGACGUUACCUGAGGAAUAAGCCACGGCUAACUACGUGCCAGCAGCCGCGGUAAUACGGAGGUGGCAAGCGUUAUCCGGAUUUACGGGGUGUAAAGGGCGUGCAGGCGGGACUGCAAGUCAGAUGUGAAAACCAGGGGCUCAACCUAUGGCCUGCAUUUGAAACUGUAGUUCUUGAGUACUGGAGAGGCAGGCGGAAUUCCUAGUGUAGCGGUGAAAUGCGUAGAUAUUAGGAGGAACACCAGUGGCGAAGGCGGUCUGCUGGACCGUAACUGACGCUGAGGCGCGAAAGCGUGGGGAGCAAACAGGAUUAGAUACCCUUGUAGUC
rnacentral:rRNA from 1 species